rnacentral:rRNA from 1 species
ACCUGCAGCCCAAGUGGUGGUCGAUUUUAUUGAGUCUAAAACGUUCGUAGCCGGUUUGAUAAAUCCUUGGGUAAAUCGAGAAGCUUAACUUUUCGAAUUCCGAGGAGACUGUCAAACUUGGGACCGGGAGAGGCUAGAGGUACUUCUGGGGAAGGCGUGUAAUACGAUAGGCCCCGAAGGGGAGGGAGUAGCGCCGGCGGCUAGAUAGGGAUGAUCAGACGGUGGGGCGCGUUGCUCUCGGAUGUGGGGGG